UAGAAUAAGUUCCACGUUCUCCUUGUUGACGUUCUCAGAAUUCCAUUUCUUGGCCAAUUGCUAAUUUGGGUUGCACCGAGUGACCGUGUGCUGGCGCCACUGUGCGGUGGCCGGGCACACGAGGGGCGCACGCAGGCCUAGCGGCGGGCAGCGCGGGGCUCUGCUCAGCGAGGCUCGUCAUGCUCAGCUCUCAUCUUCCAGUGCGUGGGAUUUCUGCUGUGCUCAGGGUUUCAAAACAGUAACAGGAAAUGGAAAAAGGGAAAACACCUCAGAAUUUGCAAGCUGGUGGCUGUGCUCCUGACCGGCAGGAAGGAAAUGACCACGGGACACCUGUGCAGUGGCAGGGGCUGCGCUGGCCUCGCAUGGUGUCAUGCAGGCGGGGGAGGGGAGGCGGUGGUGACUGUGACACGUCCCAGCCGGCCCUGAAGAGCAUGAGCUCUGGCACCUCGUCUCCUCCUGCCUUUCCUUACAGAAGCGGCACGACAGCUUUUUGUUUUGGGAAAGUCCAGAUACACACAGAAGCAGCCAGAAGAGUGUGACGAGCUCCCACGCAACCAGCAUCCAGCCCCAGCGACUGCCGACCUUCUGCCAUUUCCCCUGCUCUAGCUCCCACUCACACCUUUUCGUUGUUUUUGUUUUACUCGCAAAAAUGUCAGUGUGUAUUUAAUAAACAGACGUGCUCCCCCACACGCCAGGAGCUCUACACGCACUCACAGGCCAAAGGGGGCCCUGAGGACCUCGGCGGGCAGCCCUCUGUGACGGCGGGAGCGUCUCGUGGGGCUGUGGGCUUUCCCGCGGGCGAGGCCGGCCGGCCGGGCCGGCGGUGUGCAGGACCUGCCUCGCAGCUCAGGUGGUGAAGUUAUUUGGCGGGGAGCACUCCCUUCCCGGCCCGGACAAACACAUCCCAUGGAGUCACCUACUUGGCUGACCCGUGCACCUGGUAACCUUCUUGGAAGCUUCCCUCAGGGGUAUUUUUCUCCCUGCACAAAGCCUGCCUAGGACGUGAGCUGAGAGGGACGAAAACAGGAAAGGCCGGUCUUGCAGAGGGCCAAGGCCCGCCUGAUGAUGGAGCCCAGGUUCAUUGUUGGAUCCGAAAGAAAACAAACGUCCCAUCAUUUCUGUGUCUACUUCCAAUUCCAGCAACACGGGGAGAAGAGUGAAUUGCAAAUACAACUGAGCACGUCAGCACAUGCUGAUCAUAAAGUGAAAAGGGACACGUGCCCGCCCUUAGCAGAGUCACAAAUAAUUCCACAGCUGCGACUCUUGGCCGCCGCUGCUCUGGAGGCACGAGGGCUCUGGGCACGCUGUCUCCACCACUGGCUCAGCCAGAGGGCCUGUAGGCCAAAGGCACAGAAUUGUCCGCAGGAAAACUAGGCUUAAGUGGUAAGAUUUUUUUUUAAUAAUCAAUAUUUAAAAGCACAUGAAAGGUUUUUUUUUAAAAGCUCAGUGAUAAAUCCAGAGAUUUAUUAGAGCCAACACAUCAUCCACUUAUCAACCCAGGUCACCUGACUGCUUCCAAGUGACUCACUUGCCAGGCUUACUGACCAGGAUCCCCCAAGAAAUACCACAGAGAAAACCGAGGCUUUCCGAAGUUAGGUGGCUCGUCAGCAUUUUCGCUGGUGGAAUAAGAUUGGAGCAAGGCAGAGUAAGGUGGGUAAGUUUGGAGUCAGGUGGGGUGACUGUUUUUCCUGAUGGGCAGAUACGGAAAGUGUCACUGGCGUAGGUGGGUUCCCCAGUCUUUUGUCUGUAAAAAAGGAGUCCUUGGUGUUGGAGGGAGUGUCCUAGAAGAGUGACAGACAGCAGGCCGACGCAGUCUCUGGAAACGGGAGUGGGGAUGCGACGCGUGGCAUUGGGAGAUGUCACGCAGGAGAGAAGAGUGAGGAUAGCAUCAUGUCGCAGACAUGGCAAAUGAAGAGUUUCUCAAGAAACAGGGAAUGUGGGAGUCUGGCUCCGAUUCAUGGCACAGCCAGCCGAGGCUGUCCUACCUGCGGCUCCAAACGGGCUGCCCAGCCUCUCCUUGGGCCCGAACCUGGCCGGCCAGGACAGCAAGGCCAACUCCAGCCAGGGCCCCCACUGAGCCCACCCUCGGCACACGCUUCCAGCUGUGGGUCCUGGUUAUGCCCUGCGGCUGAAUGCAUACUUCUAGGUGAAAAUGGAGGCAUGCCUUUUAUGCCUUUCCAAGAUACUACUGAUGACUUAAAGCCGCAGGUGCAGGGAGUAGAG